rnacentral:rRNA from 1 species
GACAGAGGAUGCAAGCGUUAUCCGGAAUGAUUGGGCGUAAAGCGUCUGUAGGUGGCUUUUUAAGUCCGCCGUCAAAUCCCAGGGCUCAACCCUGGACAGGCGGUGGAAACUACCAAGCUGGAGUACGGUAGGGGCAGAGGGGAUUUCCGGUGGAGCGGUGAAAUGCGUAGAGAUCGGAAAGAACACCAACGGCGAAAGCACUUUACUGGGCUAUUACUGACACUGAGAGACGAAAGCUAGGGUAGCAAAUGGGG